rnacentral:rRNA from 1 species
CCGGCGACCGGCGCGCGGGUGAGUAACACGUAUGCAACCUGCCCUCCGCAGGGGGAUAACCCGGAGAAAUCCGGACUAAUACCGCGUGGUACACCAGUGGGGCAUCCCACGGGUGUUAAAAGGAAGCGAUUCCGGCGGAGGAUGGGCAUGCGGCGCAUUAGCUUGUUGGCGGGGUAACGGCCCACCAAGGCGACGAUGCGUAGGGGUUCUGAGAGGAAGGUCCCCCACACUGGUACUGAGACACGGACCAGACUCCUACGGAAGGCAGCAG